rnacentral:lncRNA from 1 species
GCGCGGGGCUUGAUAAAUGAUGAUCAUAUAAUUGGAAUCACAUAGCGCACACACACACACACUACGGAAUAAAAAAAGAACAAAUAUUUUUCCAAACUAGCUACGACGUUAAAAGAAGCUCAAGCUGAAGAAGAAGAAGGAGGAGGCGUUGGAAUCAGUCACGAGUCUCGUGGAACCUUCUGAUGAAAUCAGUGGAUUUCCGGUUAAUAGCUGGUUCGACGACAUACCAGUUAUAGAAGUUGGCUUCGCUAUCUUCACCAUACAUCUCGUCGUCUGUUCCUCCCGGGUACGAUCUCUGUCUUCUCCUCCACCAUGCCUUGAAGCUCCCGAAAAAGCUAAACAAGAAACGCCAAGAACCUCCCAUUAUAAUCCUUUAGAAAGGAAAAGAUGUUGGAGAGAGAGAGAAAGAGAUGUAUUUUGCGUGUUCGUAUAUAUCUAAAGAUACAUAUAAGCAUGUGAAGGAAUGUGAGGC